GGCCCGGACCGUUCGCAUCGUACGCCUGUGACAUACCAAUUGUUGCCUCGGCGGAUCAGCCCGCUCCCGGUAAAACGGGACGGCCCGCCAGAGGACCCCUAAACUCUGUUUCUAUAUGUAACUUCUGAGUAAAACCAUAAAUAAAUCAAAACUUUCAACAACGGAUCUCUUGGUUCUGGCAUCGAUGAAGAACGCAGCAAAAUGCGAUAAGUAAUGUGAAUUGCAGAAUUCAGUGAAUCAUCGAAUCUUUGAACGCACAUUGCGCCCGCCAGUAUUCUGGCGGGCAUGCCUGUUCGAGCGUCAUUUCAACCCUCAAGCCCCCGGGUUUGGUGUUGGGGAUCGGCGAGCCCUUGCGGCAAGCCGGCCCCGAAAUCUAGUGGCGGUCUCGCUGCAGCUUCCAUUGCGUAGUAGUAAAACCCUCGCAACUGGUACGCGGCGCGGCCAAGCCGUUAAACCCCCAACUUCUGAAUGUUGACCUCGGAUCAGGUAGGAAUACCCGCUGAACUUAAGCAUAUCAAUAAGCGGAGGAA
rnacentral:rRNA from 1 species